ensembl:snRNA U6 U6 spliceosomal RNA
GUGCUCACUUUGGCAGCACAUAUACUAAAACUGGAACGAUACAGACAAGAUUAGCAUGGCCCCUUUGCAAGGAUGACACGCAAAUUUGUGAAGCAUUCCAUAUUUUU